rnacentral:rRNA from 1 species
GACGAACGCUGGCGGCGUGCUUAACACAUGCAAGUCGAGCGGAGCGGCGAACGGGUGAGUAACGCGUGAGUAACUGCCCCCCUCUCUGGGAUAACAGUUGGAAACGGCUGCUAAUACCGGAUAGUGUGGGAUGACUCGCGGCCUAUGAGCUUGUUGGUGGGGUAGUGGCCUACCAAGGCGCCGACGGGUAGCCGGCCUGAGAGGUCGACCGUCCACAGUGGGCUGAGAGACGGCACAAGUUCCUACGGGAGGCAGCAGUGGGGAAUAUUGCACAAUGGGGGAAACCCUGAUGCAGCAACGCGCGUGCGGGAUGACUGCCUUCGGGUGGAAAACCGCUUUCAGCCAUGACGCGGUAGUGGCAGAAGAAGCACCGGCUAACUACGUGCCAGCAGGCGCGGUAAUAC